GAUGAACGCUGGCGGCGUGCCUAAUACAUGCAAGUCGAGCGAACAGACGAGGAGCUUGCUCCUUCGACGUUAGCGGCGGACGGGUGAGUAACACGUAGAUAACCUACCUAUAAGACUGGGAUAACUUCGGGAAACCGGAGCUAAUACCGGAUAAUAUAUUGAACCGCAUGGUUCGAUAGUGAAAGACGGCUUUGCUAUCACUUAUAGAUGGACCUGCGCCGCAUUAGCUAGUUGGUAAGGUAACGGCUUACCAAGGCAACGAUGCGUAGCCGACCUGAGAGGGUGAUCGGCCACACUGGAACUGAGACACGGUCCAGACUCCUACGGGAGGCAGCAGUAGGGAAUCUUCCGCAAUGGGCGAAAGCCUGACGGAGCAACGCCGCGUGAGUGAUGAAGGUCUUCGGAUCGUAAAACUCUGUUAUUAGGGAAGAACAAAUGUGUAAGUAACUGUGCACGUCUUGACGGUACCUAAUCAGAAAGCCACGGCUAACUACGUG
rnacentral:rRNA from 1 species